UACAUGGGGUGCAAACGUUGCUCGGAAUUAUUGGGCGUAAAGCGCACGUAGGUGGUCUGUUAUGUCAGAUGUGAAAGCCCUCGGCUUAACUGAGGAAGUGCACCUGAAACUGGCAGGCUUGAGUACGAAAGAGGGUCGCGGAAUUCCCGGUGUAGAGGUGAAAUUCGUAGAUAUCGGGAGGAACACCGGUGGCGAAGGCGGCCUGCUGGGCUAUGGCUGACACUGAGGCGCGACAGCGUGGGGAGCAAACAGG
rnacentral:rRNA from 1 species